rnacentral:rRNA from 1 species
UACGUAGGGUGCGAGCGUUAAUCGGAAUCACUGGGCGUAAAGCGCACGUAGGCGGGUCUUUAAGUCAGGGGUGAAAUCCUGGAGCUCAACUCCAGAACUGCCUUUGAUACUGAGGAUCUUGAGUUCGGGAGAGGUGAGUGGAACUGCGAGUGUAGAGGUGAAAUUCGUAGAUAUUCGCAAGAACACCAGUGGCGAAGGCGGCUCACUGGCCCGAUACUGACGCUGAGGUGCGAAAGCGUGGGGAGCAAACAGGG